rnacentral:rRNA from 1 species
AUGCAAAAUCCAAACUACAAGGUCAUGGUUGACAACCGCUAUGGUGAAUUCGUUGAGACAUCAGAGCCUUCAAUGGUGGGAGAGGAUCUGAUUGCGAGUAGCUUGAUGAAGAACCCCGGUGGUACCAUUGUGCCUUGUGGUGGUUAUGUUGCUAGGAAGAAAGAUUUGGUUACCGCAGCUGCAGCUUGCCUAUCAGCUGCACCUGGCGUUGGGGUGGAGUUUAGGUCAGCACCUGGCCAUGUUAUGCGACCUGUUUCAAGGCUUGUUUCUUUCUCCGCAAGUUGUUGGAGAGGCAGUAAAAGCAGGUUUCUUAUCAGCUCUUGCCGUUUCUAG